GCCAACCCCCUGCCCGAGAACCCUUUUGGUGAAGGAGUUUCUCUUGAUGUCCUACCAGAACCUGCGCUGGUGCGACUUGAGGCGGUCACUUGUCAGUGAUUCAGCUCUCACCUGGUUUAAGUUAUGCCCUUUUCACCUGUGACUGGUCCUUCAGAAGCCAGAGGUGCAGCCUCCCUGGUGGGACUUGGAAUCAUAGAGUCGUUACAGCUGGAAAAGACCUCUAGGAUCAUCCAGUCCGACUGUCAGCCCAACCCCACCACGCCUGCUAAACCAUGGCCUGGAGUGCCAUGUCUGCACUUUGAACACCUCCAGAGGUGGUGACUGCCGCUCCCCUGGGCAGCCGGUUCCAGUGCUUCACCACUCUUCUGUGCUGUAAACAUGACUCCAAAGGAAGAAAACAACUCAAGGAAGCUACGUGGGCUUUUGAGAGAGCACAGAAGCCAGCUGGACUGGUUAUGAGCGAGAGGCACGGAGAUUUACCUAACAGCGUCAGACUGAAGAUUAUGAAUUCACAAACAGAACUGAGAGAAAACAAUCUGUUUUAACUCCUUCUCAGGACAAGACAAAAGGUUGGGCCUCCUCUUCCUUUGAUGGAUACAGCACAUGUGAAGAAGAGUCGUUGGACACAUCUGAUCUUGUCCUAUCUUCCUGCGGAGUUUAGCUCUUCUGAUUUAAUAAUGCACAAAACCCUUUCUCCCUGUCCUUGAAAAAUAAAAACUCCAAACUGUCUACUGAAAGCAUUUCAGUCUCAAAUAAGAGCAAAAUAAGAUACUGCUGCUGUUGUGUGAAUAUUGCCGUUAAAUACUUCA